CUCAGGGCACCUCUGUCUGGAAUGGCCCGCGGGUGUUCUGACUGCUCCGGUCCACCGUGAUCCUGAGACUCUCUAAGCUCAGCUCCUGGCCCUCUUGGAGUGGCACCACCAUGCCUGGUCCCCAGCCUCCCAGAGCACCCAAGGGGGACAGCUGUGGUGUCCCUGCUACCAAGCACAGGCUCAGGAACCUGGCUCAGAGCUGCUCCUCAGCGCCAGCUGCUAGACUGGACAAGAUUUUAGGCAAGGCACGGCCACACACCAGGAGAUGAAACCCGCUUUCCCAACCUCUCCAAACAGAAGAGAGACUUGGCUGAAGGUCUAAAUAAUGCCUGAGGCCUCCAGGAGGGCCAGCGUGUCUGGUCAGGACCACGGUGCCCCACGCAGUGUUUGUUCGCCGGGGAAGCCACUCCUCUGCUACUGCACUCUGGAAGAGACUCCUGGGUCUCACAAGGAGGUGGAGGUGUCCCCAGAGGCCCUUUAAGAUGUGUGGUUAGAGAAGGCUUAAAUUUGC